GAUGAACGCUGGCGGCGUGCUUAAUACAUGCAAGUCGAACGAAGCACCUUGGACAGAAUCCUUCGGGAGGAAGACCAUUGUGACUGAGUGGCGGACGGGUGAGUAACGCGUGGGUAACCUGCCUUGUACAGGGGGAUAACAGUUGGAAACGACUGCUAAUACCGCAUAAGCGCACAGUAUCGCAUGGUACGGUGUGAAAAACUCCGGUGGUACAAGAUGGACCCGCGUCUGAUUAGCUGGUUGGUGAGGUAACGGCCCACCAAGGCGACGAUCAGUAGCCGACUUGAGAGAGUGAUCGGCCACAUUGGGACUGAGACACGGCCCAAACUCCUACGGGAGGCAGCAGUAGGGAAUAUUGCACAAUGGGGGAAACCCUGAUGCAGCGACGCCGCGUGAAGGAAGAAGUAUUUCGGUAUGUAAACUUCUAUCAGCAAGGAAGAAAAUGACGG
rnacentral:rRNA from 1 species